rnacentral:rRNA from 1 species
CCUACGGGAGGCAGCAGUGAGGAAUAUUGGUCAAUGGACGAGAGUCUGAACCAGCCAAGUAGCGUGAAGGAUGACUGCCCUAUGGGUUGUAAACUUCUUUUAUAAAGGAAUAAAACGAGGCACGUGUGCCUUUUUGCAUGUACUUUAUGACUAAGGAUCGGCUAACUCCGUGCCAGCAGCCGCGGUAAUACGGGGGAUCCGAGCGUUAGCCGGAUUUAUUGGGUUUAAAGGGAGCGUAGAUGGGUUGUUAAGUCAGUUGUGAAAGUUUGCGGCUCAACCCCGGCGAGCCGUUGAAACUGGCUGUCUUGAGAUGUCGAGAGGUAUGCGGAAUGCGCAGUGUAGCGGUGAAAUGCUUAGAUAUUGCGCAGAACUCCGAUUGCGAAGGCAGCAUACCGGCGGCGAUCUGACGCUGAGGCACGAAAGCGUGGGUAUCGAACAGGAUUAGAUACCCGAGUAGUC